rnacentral:lncRNA from 1 species
CCCCGGGUGGGGCGAACGGAGGACUCUAAGAGCCCCUAGCCUGCAACCCUGAUUCUAGACCUUCAGACUCCCCUAUCAAGGGUCAAGUCCUCGGUAACCUGCAUACUAGUCUCCCCUUUUAUUCAUUUUCAAGAAAUUAUGCACCAAUUUUUUGACGGAGGAUACCUGGUAACCAUGGCAUGACGUCUUGUUCAACCUCAGUGUUCACUAUGAGCAGCUUCGUACAUAGCUAUAGCUGUCUUUUCCCAUAUUCCUAUAUGUUAAAAAAACUCUUUUGUCUUCAGCACAUGUAUCUCUAGAUCUGAUCAUCCUUAAAUUGACACACUACUAAAAGAUGCAACACAUAAUCCGAUAAUUUCUUGAUUUGCUUGGAUUCUAGGGAACGAGUAGUACUUCCAUGGUCAGUGUGAUUUUCUAAGUAAUAUCAUUGUAUACUGGUAAAAUAAGACUUGUCCGAUUCUGCCAUUUAAUCGAAGACCAGGGAAUCACAUCGAGGUUCAGUCUCGCACUGGAUCAGGCCAAAGCACUAAGAUAAAGUAUCAAGCUCGAGAAUCGAGGUGCUCGUCGAGAUCUGGGCCAAUAACGAUCGAGACCAUAUAAUAUAUGGCACUCCGAACGAAGCGCAAUAACGGAAAUGCGAGAUAUCCGUAACCGGUCGAAGAUCAUGGUGAAAAUCCCGGAACAAAUCAAGUCAAGAGCGAUUGUUUAGGCUAAUCCUGGGAUUUACUUUUGUAAUUAGGGUUAUACCAUAAUUAGGACUCCUC